rnacentral:lncRNA from 1 species
GAUUCCAGGUGCUUUCCCUGAGAAGAGAAAACUUAGGAGGAUCUGGUAGCUACACAUGGAAAAAAAAAUGCCCUAUGUGUCAGCGCUUGGAAUGGGCUCGCCCACACUUGUUUGCUCCCACGAUUUCAGACCAUGACUAUAUCGGGGGCGGUGGCCUUGAUGCUGAAAAAGAGAAAGAACACAAAAGAUGGAUGAUCUUUUUUGCCUCCUGGAGCAGUCUAGCCCUGGCUGCCAGUUAUUAUCUGUGCACUGAGUCUUAUGGGCACUGGGCUGACACCUGGAUGAACAGCACCUGAGCUGUAAGCUCUUUGACAACACUGGGCAAUACACUUCAUAAACCACUGUAUUUGCAUGUGACACGUGUCAGCAGCACAAACACAGGGCACUGUGUGGCAUCAGGAAGCUUGCCAGCAGAGGGUAGUUUGAUGCUGAAGGUCAGCUUUUUAUCUUUUCAGGAACCUGCAUAUUCAGAAAAAAAUUUUUCAGAUCUGGGGACACUGGGAUUCACCACUUCCUCCUGCUGAAUUCUAGUGCCUGAAUGAGAUCUGCAAACAUUCACUCCAUACAGUUUUGAGUUUGCUACAUUAGCAACUCCCUUAGAUCCUAGAACAGUUCUGUUCCUUCCCUCUUCAGUGCCACUUUCACUGGAACUUUCCGUUACUUCAAGAUCCCAUUCGAAUUGGCCCUUCAGGUAACCUCCUUUAACUACGUAAACAUGCAAAAACCCAUCUCUCCUCCAUCUGAAUUCAUGCUACACAUGCUCUCUGUUUGAGUCACUGGGUCCCUAACAUGCACCUCCUAGUGUUGUUAUUCACUAGGUCCCUAACAUGCACCUCCUAGUGUUAUUAUUAUUAUUAUUAUUAUUAUUUGAGAUGGAGUCUCACUCUGUAGCCCAGGCUGGAGUGCAGUGGCAUGAUCUCGGCUCACUGCAACCUCCGUCUCCUGGGUUCAAGUGAUUCUUCUGCCUCAACCUCCCGAGUAGCUGGGACUACAGGCACUGUAGUCCCACCACACCCGGCUAAUUUUGGUAUAUUUAGGAGAGAUGGGGUUUCACCAUAUUGGCCAGGCUGGUCUCGAACUCCUGACCUCAUGAUCUGCCCCC